AACGAACGCUGGCGGCAGGCUUAACACAUGCAAGUCGAACGCCCCGCAAGGGGAGUGGCAGACGGGUGAGUAACGCGUGGGAAUCUACCGUACCCUACGGAACAACAGUUGGAGACGACUGCUAAUACCGUAUACGCCCUACGGGGGAAAGAUUUAUCGGGGUAUGAUGAGCCCGCGUUGGAUUAGCUAGUCGGUGGGGUAAAGGCCUACCAAGGCGACGAUCCAUAGCUGGUCUGAGAGGAUGAUCAGCCACAUUGGGACUGAGACACGGCCCAAACUCCUACGGGAGGCAGCAGUGGGGAAUAUUGGACAAUGGGCGCAAGCCUGAUCCAGCCAUGCCGCGUGAGUGAUGAAGGUCUUAGGAUUGUAAAGCUCUUUCACCGAUGAAGAUAAUGACGGUAGUCGGAGAAGAAGCCCCGGCUAACUUCGUGCCAGCCGCCGCAGUAAUAC
rnacentral:rRNA from 1 species